rnacentral:tRNA from 1 species
UCCCAGCUGGCUCAAUGGGCAGAGAACCCGCCUGAAAUGCAGCAGACUCAGGAGACCUGGGUUCAAUCCCUGGGCUGGGGA